CAGUAGCCGCGGUAAUACGAAGGGGGCUGGCGUUGCUCGGAAUGACUGGGCGUAAAGGGCGCGUAGGCGGAUGGUACAGUCAGACGUGAAAUUCCUGGGCUCAACCUGGGGACUGCGUUUGAGACGUGCGAUCUAGAGUUUGGAAGAGGGUCGUGGAAUUCCCAGUGUAGAUGUGAAAUUCGUAGAUAUUGGGAAGAACACCGGUGGCGAAGGCGGCGACCUGGUCCUUGACUGACGCUGAGGCGCGAAAGCGUGGGGAGCAAACAGGAUUAGAUACCCGGGUAGUCCCUGUCUCUUAUAC
rnacentral:rRNA from 1 species